rnacentral:rRNA from 1 species
UACGAAGGGGGCUAGCGUUGCUCGGAAUUACUGGGCGUAAAGGGCGCGUAGGCGGAUAGUUUAGUCAGAGGUGAAAGCCCAGGGCUCAACCUUGGAAUUGCCUUUGAUACUGGCUAUCUUGAGUUCGGGAGAGGUGAGUGGAAUGCCGAGUGUAGAGGUGAAAUUCGUAGAUAUUCGGCGGAACACCAGUGGCGAAGGCGACUCACUGGCCCGAUACUGACGCUGAGGCGCGAAAGCUAGGGGAGCAAACAGG